AUAUAUAUGUAGGACUCUAAAGUACGAUGGGGACGCUAAAGUACGAUGGUCAUGCUAAAGUGCGAUGGUCUGCGCUAAAGUGCGAUGCCUCUAUACGCUAAAGUGCGAUUGUCCGCGAAAGUAUAGACGUAAUAAACGUACUAUGGAUUAUGACGUGAACAGUCGUUUAUACAAACACAAAAAUGAACAUGCUGUAAGAAAAUUGUAGAAUAUUUGAUUUUAAACAACUUAAAGUGCAUAAGUAUCCUUUAUCUUGUUUCUAUUAAAAAGGAGUGAGAAAGCUCGGUAAUCAAAUAUUUUUAAACAAAUAAAUGUAACACAAUAAACGAAUUUCGAAUUUGUAAUUUACAAUGACGACUUUCAGGGGGAUGUUCACAUUAGUGAUAGACUGUGAACGGCAAGACACGCUAAGUAUCAAAAUAUUUGAUACCGGCCCGAAUUUAAAAAAAAAUCAUAUACAGGAUAUAGAUUUUUGUCCCACUUAAAUUAACAUUUUAGCAAUAACUACGUGGUCGUUCUUCUUGAUUUAAAAACAAUCACUUCAGCCUACCGGUAAUUAUAAAGUCUAUCACAUAUGUUAUAAAACCUAAGCAUACUAGCUUUUGCAAAAAGAUUAUUUAUUAACAUCCGUGUUGCUUAAAGUUUUAAGCCCUUGAACAUUAAUUACCCUUUUGAUCCAUUAUAAAUUUAAACUUCAGCGUGAUAUUUAAUCGUUCUUUAGCAAACAAACAACCAUCGCACUUUAGCGUGAUACACAAUCGUACUUUAGCGUAGACCAUCGCACUUUAGCGUGACCAUCGCACUUUAGAGUACCAUCGCACUUUAGAGUCC
rnacentral:lncRNA from 1 species